rnacentral:lncRNA from 1 species
AUCACCACCAUCACCAUCAUCAUCAUCACCAUCAUCACCAUCACCAUCACCACCAUCAUCACCAUCACCAUCACCAUCACCAUCACCAUCACCACCAUCACCAUCAUCACCAUCAUCACCACCAUCACCAUCAUCAUCACCAUCAUCACCAUCACCACCAUCACCAUCAUCACCAUCACCAUCAUCACCAUCACCACCAUCACCACCAUCACCACCAUCACCAUCACCAUCAUCACCAUCACCAUCAUCACCAUCAUCAUCAUCACCAUCACCACCAUCAUCAUCACCAUCACCACCAUCACCAUCACCACCAUCAUCAUCAUCAUCACCAUCACCAUCAUCACCAUCACCACCAUCAUCAUCAUCAUCAUCACCAUCACCACCAUCACCAUCACCUUCCUUUCCUGAGAGAGAUCCAGGGCACAGAGCGUUUUGGAAUCUUGCCAAUGACCAGCAGCCAUCUCUCAGCAUCCUUGGAGGAUCAGUUCCAGUUCACUCUGAGAUACCCAGUCCCCGGGUCCUGGGGAUCCUUGCGUGAAACGGCGCACUGCGGCACACUGUGGCACACUGUGGCACACUGCGGCACACUGCGGCACACUGCGGAGCACUGCGGCACACUGCGGAGCACUGCGGCACUGCGGCACACUGCGGAGCACUGCGGAGCACUGCGGCACACUGCGGCGCACUGCGGCGCACUGAG